GACGAACGCUGGCGGCGUGCUUAACACAUGCAAGUCGAACGAUGAAGCUGGAGCUUGCUCCGGUGAUUAGUGGCGAACGGGUGAGUAACACGUGAGCAAUCUGCCCCUGACUCUGGGAUAACUGCGGGAAACUGUAGCUAAUACCGGAUACGACACCUUCGGGCAUCCGCUGGGUGUGGAAAGAACUUCGGUCAGGGAGGAGCUCGCGGCCUAUCAGCUUGUUGGUGAGGUAACGGCUCACCAAGGCGACGACGGGUAGCCGGCCUGAGAGGGUGACCGGCCACACUGGGACUGAGACACGGCCCAGACUCCUACGGGAGGCAGCAGUGGGGAAUAUUGCACAAUGGGCGCAAGCCUGAUGCAGCAACGCCGCGUGAGGGACGAAGGCCUUCGGGUUGUAAACCUCUUUUAGCAGGGAAGAAGCGAAAGUGACGGUACCUGCAGAAAAAGCACCGGCUAACUACGUGCCAGCAGCCGCGGUAA
rnacentral:rRNA from 1 species